rnacentral:ncRNA from 1 species
CUAAAAGCUGAGAAGAGGAUCGGUAGGACGGUUUAGUUAGGUCACAGAGAGCCGGGUUGCUGAGAGUCCGGUACCUGACUCGUCCGACAUGGCCUCGGAGCUGCUAUCCGAAAAUAGUGAUUUUGACAGCUAUGAGUAGGUGCUGACGUCUCGCCCGCGUUAUAGGGUUGUAGGCCAGUUAGAUGGCCUCAGAGUCCUGCAGUGUAAGCUGCAGGAGAACCAGGGUGGUACCACGAGUGGUCCUCGUCCCUAGG